CCCUACGGGGGGCAGCAGUGAGGAAUAUUGGUCAAUGGGCGGGAGCCUGAACCAGCCAAGUCGCGUGAGGGAAGACGGUCCUAUGGAUUGCAAACCUCUUUAGGCGGGGAGCAAUGCCGGGCACGCGUGCCCGGAGGGAGAGUACCCGCAGAAUAAGCAUCGGCUAACUCCGUGCCAGCAGCCGCGGUAAUACGGAGGAUGCGAGCGUUAUCCGGAUUUAUUGGGUUUAAAGGGUGCGCAGGCGGCACGGCAAGCCGGCGGUCAAAUCGCGGGGCUCAACCCCGCCCAGCCGUCGGAACUGCCGG
rnacentral:rRNA from 1 species